GACGAACCGUGCGAACGUUAUUCGGAAUCAUUGGGCUUAAAGGGCGCGUAGGCGGCGAUAUAAGUUGGAAGUGAAAUCCCAUCGGCUCAACCGUGGAAUAGCUCCCAGUACUGUAUCGCUCGAGGGGGAUAGGGGUUUGCGGAACUACCGGUGGAGCGGUGAAAUGUGUUGAUAUCGGUGGGAACGCCAGUGGCGAAAGCGGCAAACUUGACCCUUCCUGACGCUGAGGCGCGAAAGCUAGGGGAGCAAACGGG
rnacentral:rRNA from 1 species